GGUCUGGAAGCUUUUCCUUCAAUCUUCGAGCUCCUCACCUAUCUGAACAUGCCAUUGCCUGCAACCAAGCUUGAGAACCAACAAACAGUGGCUGCGGGUUCUGGAAACACGCAGAGUGAUAGUUCAGAAAUAAAAGAAAAAAACCCAAAUCCCAAGGCUCUGACUGAGGUCCAGCAAGGAUUAAGGUCAUCAGGUACCAAACAGGAUCCAAGGGUAAAUAAAGGGAGAGUGUGGGCUUACCUGGAGACUCCCUAAGCAGAAAAUGAGAGCUUGGGGCUACAGUGAGGGGGCCACUCCACUGUUCAGGUCUGUGGGCUCAUCCUUCAUUCAGCGCUGAGCACGUGAAUUUGGGCAUAGAAGAUGGUGGUUAAAGCUUGAAUAAAAAGGCCCAAGAACCAAUAGAAACUGACGGAAACUGAUAGCAUACUGACAAAACACCUUAUCCUCUGCCUCUUGCUGGUGUCAAUGUAAGAAAAGAUCUGAGAUUUUAAGAACAACAGGCAGGGGGCAACAUAGUGAGACCCCAUCUCUACAAAGAAUAAAAAAUUAGCUGGGUGGAGUGGUACGUGCCUGUAGUCCCAGGCACUUGGGAGGCUGGGGUGGGAGGACUGCUUGAGCCUGGGAGGUUGAAGCUGCAGUGAGCUGUGACUGCACCACUGCACUCGAGCCUGGGUAACACAGUGAACCCCUAUCUCAAGCAAACGAAACAAAACAACAAACAAACCAAAAAACAAAGAGGACUCUGAAAGGUGUUUCAAACAACCAAACGAAAACAAAUACAGGCUUGCUAGAGAACUAUUUGAAAAAGGAUCUAAAACUUCUCAGCCAAAGCUUUUGGGGCCAGUUCUGCUGGAAAGAGGACUGGGUUUAAACUGCAUGGCUCUUUGCAGUCAUCAGAACCUCCAUUUGCUUAAAUGGCACUUGGAAAGACAGGUAUAAAAUGACACUUGGACAGAUGCCACUUUCUGCAAGUGGAAAAGAACUGGUCUCCAUUGUAUAGAGUUUUACAGGAGCAAGAGAAUAAGGACAAUUCUAAACCCAGAUUUUCUAUUUGACCCUCAGUCUCUAGAAAGUUUGACAUCCUAGAUGAAGAACAAAAGUAAGUUGAACACGGACACAGAGAGAGGAACAACAUACACCGGGCCUGUCGGGGGGUGGGGAGGGAGGGAGAAUAUUAGGAAAAAUAGCCAAUGCAUGCUGGGCUUAAUAUCUAGGUGACUGGUGGAUAGGUGCAGCAAACCACCACGGCACACAUUUACCUACGUAACAAACCCGCACAUGUACCCCAGAAUUAAAAAUAAAAAAAAUUUAAAUUAAAAAAGUAGAGACUCUUCAAAGUGAGAAGGUAUGUCAGGCAGCUACUAUUAUUUUUCCUCCAAAUUAAUAAGUGUAAGGUACCUGUUUAAUCAGCUGGAGGUUAGAAAAAAAAUAAUAUAAAUAUUUUUCAUGGAAACAAACAAGACAAAACAACAACAACAAAAGUAAGUUGAAAGCCAUAUGUGUUAAGGUCACUCUUAGCAUUUUUACCUUACAUGACAAGCAGAGACCAGGAAAAGACAAGGACAUGAAUUUAAGGUACUCAAGUUCCAAAUACACGAAUCCAUUGCUAGUUGUUUCUUUUUCUCUCUUUUCUCAACAAGUUGGGGAACACAUGCAGAGGCAACAACAGCCACCGACUGAGUUGACUAUAUUCUCCAUGGGGCUGAGUAUGGACAAGGCGUAUUUCCCGGACGCCAUGGGCAGGGGGUCUCCAUCAAUGACGUGGAUAUUCAACACUACAGGGCCUGGCUCCCUGCUUGCGGAGGACUCAUGGGUCACCCUGAAUGGCCCAAACUCUCUGAUACCUGGCAGAGUGGUGGCGGUGGGCCUUAGGCAAGCCAGC
rnacentral:lncRNA from 1 species